UGGAAUGGAUUUGCAUUUGAUCAGAGUACCUUUGCGCGAAUGACGAUGCUGGAGAACGCAACCCAAUCCAAAACCACUGGAAGAACACACAAUGGAGCUUUAGUGCAAGUAUCAACUGACUAUUUUGCUCACCUCCUCAAGCAAUGUGGGAAUUCCAAGGACCCUUCACAGGGGGAUCAAGUCUACAGAAAAAUCUCCUCGAGUGAAUUUGCGAAUGACAGAUACCUGGGAAAUCUCCUCAUCGAGAUGUAUGGCAAGUGCGGGCAAUUGGACAAGGCGCAAGCGGCUUUCGAUCGCCUGGAUCAUCCCAACA
rnacentral:lncRNA from 1 species